rnacentral:lncRNA from 1 species
AACCGAUGGCUUGGAGUGAUUCUGUGUUAUUCUUUGGGAUCCAUAUUAUGUUGUUUAUUUUGUACUUAAGGCGGUGGAAACGAAUGAAAUUCAAAAGAAAUUGAAUUAUAUGGAAUGCUGAGACCGCGACUUGCUGCUAAAUAGAGAAAAUUAAAUUGCACACAAAUGCUCAGCUUUUGGAACUCAGGGGUCACGAAGCUGCCACAUGGAAGUGGUUUACCUCAUUGGAAACUACUUGAGAGUGAAAAGUUGUCAAAACUUUGCAUGCUACUAAAGAACAAAUAGAAGAAU